rnacentral:rRNA from 1 species
UAGGGGGCAAGCGUUAUCCGGAUUUACUGGGUGUAAAGGGAGCGUAGACGGCGUAUCAAGUCUGAUGUGAAAGGCAGGGGCCCAACCCCUGGACUGCAUUGGAAACUGGUAUGCUGGAGUGCCGGAGAGGUAAGCGGAAUUCCUAGUGUAGCGGUGAAAUGCGUAGAUAUUAGGAGGAACACCAGUGGCGAAGGCGGCUUACUGGACGGUAACUGACGUUGAGGCUCGAAAGCGUGGGGAGCAAA